AUUGUCAGACAAUUUUUAAGUAUAUCAACAAAUUUAUUUGUUUUCCAUUACCAAAAUUGUAUGUCCUACUUUGGCCAAUAUUUUGCAUAUCCUCCAGCACUUCAAGUCGGACUCCGAUAAAAUUGAAGACAUUCUAUUCCAAUAUCAGAACAUCCAUCUUCUAAACUGGUCAAAUUUGAGGGAUACCAUAAGUUGUUGGGCCGAAGUGUCCAACUAUGUGGAUGCAGCAGAGGUGGAACGAGUGUUCAGUCAAAUGAACAAUGUCAAAACCAAGCUGCGAAAUAGAAUGGCCGUUGAAACACUAAAUUCUAUUUUUCACACAAGAUACGGACUACGCCGGGCAAACAAAUGCUGCCAUAAUUAUGAAGUCCCAGAAGAUUGCUUGAAAAUGAUUGGAACCAAUCAGAGCUACAAAAAAUUCAGCAGAAGAAGAGGGCAUGAUUGAGGAAAUUUCAGAACUUCUCAAAAAUACUUAAUAAAUA